rnacentral:rRNA from 1 species
GCGAAAAGGGCUUCGGCUCUUAGUAGAGUGGCGAACGGGUGAGUAACACGUAGGUAAUCUACCUUCGGGUGGGGAAUAACCCAGGGAAACUUGGGCUAACACCGCAUAAUGCAGCGGCACCACAUGGUGACAGUUGUUAAAGCGGGGGAUUUUAGGACCUCGCGCCUGAAGAGGAGCCUGCGGCGGAUUAGCUAGUUGGUGAGGUAACGGCUCACCAAGGUCACGAUCCGUAGCCGGCCUGAGAGGGCGGUCGGCCACACUGACACUGACAUACGGGUCAGACUCCUACGGGAGGCAGCAGUCGGGAAUUUUGGGCAAUGGGCGAAAGCCUGACCCAGCAACGCCGCGUGAAGGAUGAAAUCCCUCGGGAUGUAAACUUCGCAAGAAUGGGAAGAAUUAGUAGGGGUUAAUACCCCCUAUGAUGACGGUACCAUUUGUAAGCUCCGGCUAACUCCGUGCCAGCAGCCGCGGUAAUACGGGGGGAGCAAGCGUUGUUCGGAUUUACUGGGCGUAAAGGGCGCGUAGGCGGUCAGCACAAGUCAGUUGUGAAAUCUCCGGGCUUAACUCGGAAAGGUCAACUGAUACUGUGCGACUAGAGUGCGGAAGGGGCAACUGGAAUUCUCGGUGUAGCGGUGAAGUGCGUAGAUAUCGAGAGGAACACCUGCGGCGAAGGCGGGUUGCUGGGCCGACACUGACGCUGAUGCGCGAAAGCCAGGGGAGCGAACGGGAUUAGAUACCCCGGUAGUCCUGGCCUUAACGAUGGAUGCUU